rnacentral:rRNA from 1 species
GCGCCCUAUUAGGCAGUUGGUGAGGUAACGGCUCACCAAGCCUACGAUGGGUAGCCGACCUGAGAGGGUGACCGGCCACACUGGGACUGAGAUACGGCCCAGACUCCUACGGGAGGCAGCAGUAGGGAAUAUUGCGCAAUGGGCGAAAGCCUGACGCAGCAACGCCGCGUGGAGGAUGAAACCCCUAGGGGCGUAAACUCCUUUCAGGGGGGAAGAAACCUGAUAACAGCUGACGGUACCCUCAGAAGAAGCUCCGGCUAACUCCGUGCCAGCAGCCGCGGUAAUACGGGGGGAGCAAGCGUUGUCCGGAAUCACUGGGCGUAAAGGGUGCGCAGGUGGGAUUGCAAGUCCGUGGUGAAACCUGGUGGCUCAACUGCCAGCCUGCCGCGGAUACUGCUUUUCUUGAGUGCUGCAGAGGAAGCUGGAAUUCCUGGUGUAGCGGUGAAAUGCGUAGAUAUCAGGAAGAACACCGGUUGCGAAGGCGAGCUUCUGGGCAUGCACUGACACUGAGGCACGAAAGCUGGGGGAGCAAACAGGAUUAGAUACCCUGGUAGUCCCAGCCGUAAACGAUGAGCACUAGGUGUUGGGGGGGGCCGAUCCUCUCAGUGCCGCAGCUAACGCAUUAAGUGCUCCGCCUGGGGAGUACGCUCGC